rnacentral:rRNA from 1 species
GGCUCUUUGACUAUAAAUAUAUAAAGAGUCGGACCUGCCCAGUGAGAAGAUCUUUAACGGCCGCGGUACUCUGACCGUGCAAAGGUAGCAUAAUCAUUUGCUCUAUAAUUGAGGGCUAGUAUGAAUGGUUUGACAAGAGCAAAGCUGUCUCUAUACAAUUUUAUAAAAUUUAAUCUUUAGCUGAAGAAGCCUAAAUUUAAUUAAAAGACAAGAAGACCCUAUCGAGCUUUAAAGUAAUUACAGGGCUAGUAGACAUAAUUAAUAAAAUCUUUACCUGUAAAAAUUUUGGUUGGGGCGACUAAGGAACAAAUAAAGCUUCUUUCUAAAAAAAAGUAGACAUACAAUGAUCCAAAAUUUUUGAUUAAAGAAAUUAGUUACCGUAGGGAUAACAGCAUAAUCUUUUUUGAGAGUUCUUAUCGAAAAAAAGGCUUGUGACCUCGAUGUUGGACCAGAAUAUCCUAAAGAUGCAGCCG